rnacentral:rRNA from 1 species
GAACGCGAAGAACCUUACCAGGUCUUGACAUCCUGCGCUACACCUAGAGAUAGGUGGUUCCCUUCGGGGACGCAGAGACAGGUGGUGCAUGGCUGUCGUCAGCUCGUGUCGUGAGAUGUUGGGUUAAGUCCCGCAACGAGCGCAACCCUUGUCUUUAGUUGCCAUCAUUAAGUUGGGCACUUCUAAAGAGACUGCCGGUGACAAACCGGAGGAAGGUGGGGAUGACGUCAAGUCAUCAUGCCCCUUAUGACCUGGGCUACACACGUGCUACAAUGGGCAGUACAACGAGAAGCGAACCCGCGAGGGUAAGCGGAUCUCUUAAAGCUGUUCUCAGUUCGGACUGCAGGCUGCAACUCGCCUGCACGAAGCUGGAAUCGCUAGUAAUCGCGGAUCAGCACGCCGCGGUGAAUACGUUCCCGGGUCUUGUACACACC